rnacentral:tRNA from 1 species
GCCCUCGGUGGCUCAGAUGGAUAGAGCGUCUGCGCGGUAAGCAGGAGGUCCCGGGUUCGAGUCCCGGUCGGGGCA